AGCGAACGCUGGCGGCAGGCCUAGCACAUGCAAGUCGAACGAACCUUUCGGGGUUAGUGGCGGACGGGUGAGUAACACGUGGGAACGUGCCUUUAGGUUCGGAAUAACUCAGGGAAACUUGUGCUAAUACCGAAUGUGCCCUUCGGGGGAAAGAUUUAUCGCCUUUCGAGCGGCCCGCGUCUGAUUAGCUAGUUGGUUGAGGUAAUGGCUCACCAAGGCGACGAUCAGUAGCUGGUCUGAGAGGAUGAUCAGCCACAUUGGGACUGAGACACGGCCCAAACUCCUACGGGAGGCAGCAGUGGGGAAUCUUGCGCAAUGGGCGAAAGCCUGACGCAGCCAUGCCGCGUGAAUGAUGAAGGUCUUAGGAUUGUAAAAUUCUUUCACCGGGGACGAUAAUGACGGUACCCGGAGAAGAAGCCCCGGCUAACUUCGUG
rnacentral:rRNA from 1 species